GUUGUCGUGGCCGAGUGGUUAAGGCGAUGGACUAGAAAUCCAUUGCUGUUUCCCUGUGCAGGUUCAAAUCCUGCUGAUAACG
rnacentral:tRNA from 1 species